CAGUACUCAUGAAUACACAGUACUCAUGAGUACACAGCACUCAUGAGUACAAUACUCAUGAAUACUGUGUACUCAUGAGUACUGUGUAUUCAUGAGUAUAUGCACUCCU
rnacentral:pre_miRNA from 1 species